CCUACGGGUGGCUGCAGUGAGGAAUAUUGGUCAAUGGCCGGGACGCUGAACCAGCCAAGUCGCGUGAGGGAAGACGGCCCUACGGGUUGUAAACCUCUUUUGUCAGGGAGCAAUGUGCAGGUCGGGACCUGCUGUGAGAGUACCUGACGAAAAAGCAUCUGCUAACUCCGUGCCAGCAGCCGCCGUAAUACGGAGGAUGCGAUCGUUAGCCGUAUUUCUGGGGUUUAAAGGGUUCGAAGGCGGAGGCACAAGUCAGCGGGAAAAUCGCGGGGCUCAACCCCGCUCCGCCGUUGAAACUGUGUACCGUGAGUGCGCGAAGGGUAGGCGGAAUGCGUGGUGUAGCGGUGAAAUGCAUAGAUAUCACGAAGAACUCCGAGAGCGAAGGCAGCCUACCGGCGCGCAACUGACGCUCAUGCACGAAAGCGUGGGUAUCGAACAGGAUUAGAUACCCGAGUAGUC
rnacentral:rRNA from 1 species